rnacentral:rRNA from 1 species
UACGUAGGGUGCGAGCGUUGUCCGGAAUUACUGGGCGUAAAGCGUGCGUAGGUGGUUCGUUAAGUCUGAUGUGAAAGCCCUGGGCUCAACCUGGGAAUUGCAUUGGAUACUGGCGGGCUAGAGUACGGUAGAGGGUGGCGGAAUUCCUGGUGUAGCAGUGAAAUGCGUAGAUAUCAGGAGGAACAUCCGUGGCGAAGGCGGCCACCUGGACCAGUGCUGACACUGAGGCACGAAAGCGUGGGGAGCAAACAGGAUUAGAUA